AGCGAACGCUGGCGGCAGGCCUAACACAUGCAAGUCGAACGAAGUCUUCGGACUUAGUGGCGGACGGGUGAGUAACACGUGGGAACGUACCUUUUGGUUCGGAACAACUCAGGGAAACUUGAGCUAAUACCGGAUGAGCCCUUAGGGGGAAAGAUUUAUCGCCGAAAGAGCGGCCCGCGUUAGAUUAGCUAGUUGGUGAGGUAAAGGCUCACCAAGGCUACGAUCUAUAGCUGGUCUGAGAGGAAGAUCAGCCGCACUGGGACUGAGACACGGCCCAGACUCCUACGGGAGGCAGCAGUGGGGAAUCUUGCGCAAUGGGCGAAAUCCUGACGCAGCCAUGCCGCGUGAAUGAUGAAGGUCUUAGGAUUGUAAAAUUCUUUUACCAGGGACGAUAAUGACGGUACCUGGAGAAAAAGCCCCGGCUAACUUCGUGCCAGCCGCCGCCGUAAAAC
rnacentral:rRNA from 1 species